AAUGGCUCAUUAAAUCAGUUAUCGUUUAUUUGAUAGUACCUUACUACUUGGAUAACCGUGGUAAUUCUAGAGCUAAUACAUGCUAAAAACCCCGACUUCGGAAGGGGUGUAUUUAUUAGAUAAAAAACCAAUGCCCUUCGGGGCUCCUUGGUGAUUCAUGAUAACUUCUCAGAUCGCAUAGCCUUGUGCUGGCGACGGUUCAUUCAAAUUUCUGCCCUAUCAACUUUCGAUGGUAAGGUAUUGGCUUACCAUGGUUUCAACGGGUAACGGGGAAUUAGGGUUCGAUUCCGGAGAGGGAGCCUGAGAAACGGCUACCACAUCCAAGGAAGGCAGCAGGCGCGCAAAUUACCCAAUUCCGAUACGGAGAGGUAGUGACAAUAAAUACUGAUACAGGGCUCUUUUGGGUCUUGUAAUUGGAAUGAGUACAAUUUAAACCUCUUAACGAGGAACAAUUGGAGGGCAAGUCUGGUGCCAGCAGCCGCGGUAAUUCCAGCUCCAAUAGCGUAUAUUAAAGUUGUUGCAGUUAAAAAGCUCGUAGUUGAACCUUUGGCCUGGCUGGCAGGUCCGCCUCACCGCGUGCACUUGUCCGGCCGGGCCUUUUCUUCUGGAGAACCGCAUGCCCUUCACUGGGUGUGUUGGGGACCAGGACUUUUACUUUGAAAAAAUUAGAGUGUUCAAAGCAGGCCUUUGCUCGAAUACGUUAGCAUGGAAUAAUAGAAUAGGACGUGCGGUCCUAUUUUGUUGGUUUCUAGGACCGCCGUAAUGAUUAAUAGGGACAGUCGGGGGCAUCAGUAUUCAAUUGUCAGAGGUGAAAUUCUUGGAUUUAUUGAAGACUAACUACUGCGAAAGCAUUUGCCAAGGAUGUUUUCAUUAAUCAGUGAACGAAAGUUAGGGGAUCGAAGACGAUCAGAUACCGUCGUAGUCUUAACCAUAAACUAUGCCGACUAGGGAUCGGGCGGUGUUU
rnacentral:rRNA from 1 species